AUACGGAAGGUCCGGGCGUUAUCCGGAUUUAUUGGGUUUAAAGGGAGCGUAGGCGGAGCGUCAAGCCAGCAGUGAAAUGUAGCGGCCCAACCGCUGCACUGCUGUUGGAACUGGCGCCCUUGAGUGCACACGAGGCAUGCGGAAUUUGUGGUGUAGCGGUGAAAUGCUUAGAUAUCACGAAGAACUCCGAUUGCGAAGGCAGCGUGCCGGAGUGCAACUGACGCUGAAGCUCGAAAGUGCGGGUAUCGAACAGGAUUAGAUACCCUGGUAGUCCGCACGGUAAACGAUGGAUGCUCGCUGUGGGCGACAAACAGUCCGCGGCCCAGCGAAAGCGUUAAGCAUCCCACCUGGGGAGUACGCCGGCAACGGUGAA
rnacentral:rRNA from 1 species